rnacentral:tRNA from 2 species
UGGUCUAUGGUGUAAUUGGCAGCACGACUGAUUCUGGUUCAGUUAGUCUUGGUUCGAGUCCAGGUAGGCCAG